UAAACGAACGGCGCACCAGAGAGGAUGCGUCGGGAACCUUCUCUCACCUUUCCUGGAGAAAUCCGCGGGCAACUGCGUGUUUCCCACGGCGUGUUUCCAACUUGCCGUUCUUAUGCAGCACCGACCGAUCUUCCACGGGCAACUGCGUGUAUCCCACGGCGUGUUUCCAACUUGCCGUUCUUAUGCAGCAACGACCGACCCUUCCCACCGAUUCAUUCUUGUCGGCCACAACUAAGAAGGAAUUCCAUCUCAGCCGUUGCUUCUUUCCUUUACACUCUGAUCUGGAUCGUUGGCUGCCUCGCUUGAAAUCUAUAAGUGACGGGACUCCCUGCCCUUCCUUGCCACCGUUGUUUUGGUUUCUGGUAUGCGUCGUUCCGUGUCUCCUUAGCCACCCGUUGAUCGUCGAAGGCGGUGCACCCAAUUCCUCAGCCGUCCGUUUUUCGUUCAUUUCGUCUUCGAAUUGGAUGAUCUGUUCUCGAUAGGUGGUGCAUCCAAAGCCUUUUAAUCGUGUGAUUUCGGAUUCGGGCACUUGAAAUUGGUAUUGAGCGAAUCGGAAGAUCUGAUUUUGAUGGAUGGUAGAUCAAAAGCCUUUCAAAUCUUGUGGUUUUCGUUAUUGAGCAGUUGAAAUUGGUCUUGAACGAAUUGGGUAAUCUAUUUUCGAUCGAUGAUGGAUCGGAAAAUUUUGAUAUAUGUCGUUUUAGUUUUCGAGCACUUCAAACACGAAAUUGGAUGAUCUAUUUUCCUAAGAAAUACGGAAGGUUGAGAGGGGACUUCACAAGUUGCAGGAUUUUUUAUGCUCCUAGUUUUUUGAAAGAUUAAAUUAUCCUAACUCGCUUGUACCAUGAUCCCAAAUUCUCGAUCUCUCCUUUGUGGCAGAUUUUAUAUAUAUCAUCGACGCGGCUGGUGGUUGGUGAGGCUGUGGUGUUUAUAUGGUUUUUAUCUGUAUGGAGCCCACACUGAGCCUGUGAUGAAGAUUGUUAAGGAUCCUCUGGUUUCCGUUGAAUGAUAAAAAUAGGUUUUCGAUUAGAUAGUGGUUUAUUUAAGGGGUUUCUUUGCUGUGACACACACCGCUUAUUAUCAUGGAUGCAGGUCUUCAGAAAUGCUCUCAACAAUGGAUGUGUCCGGUUUGUGCUGGUUUAGUUGGCCCUCGUUACUUUCAACUAUCAUUUGUUGUACUUAUGUGCACAAGUCAGUUAUUUUGAUACGGUUCUCAUCAAAAUAUGGUUGUUUGUUUUAUUUGUUGUGCAAGGGAAAGCUGAUGGACAUCUAGUUUUGCAUGGGCAUGUGACAGUAUCUUUUUGAAAGAGAGAUGUGAUUGUUUUGCUCUCUUUUUUCAGCAUUGGCAGUUUAAUUUGUUGCUUAUUUUCCCUGUCUACUACUUCCGUUGGCAUGCUUGGUACAUUUUAUAAAUUUGCACUUUUGAUGUGAGUCUUUCUCUAUGUUUUCUGAAUGUUAAAUUUUCACAUUUUAUAAAUUUGCACUUUUUAUAAAUUUGCAAAUUUAUAAAUUUGCACUUUUUAUAAAUUUGCAAAUUUAUAAAUUUGCACUUUUUGUUUGCAGUUGCAGAAGGAUCAGCAUUAGCCAUAAGUCUGGUAAAUAGACAUGGUUACUGACCUUUCUUGGAUUGUAUUUGGUAUGAGAAGUGGGUUUACAUUUUUGGUAAGGUUAGUUUAGAUUUAGGAGUCCAAAUUAUUCCCAAAAAUUUGAGAUUUUAUGUUUUUAUCCAAAUGUUAAUUGUUCUUGUUGUCAUGAAUUUUCAGCAGUUACUUGCUGGACUAGUCUUAUUAGAAGAUUAUUUGAACUUCUCAUUUGUCUCUUCUGGGAUUCUUUGUCAGAUAUCUACUUUGCAGCUUAGUUGUCUUUUUGUUUUAACCUGCUUCUGGUCAGGUCAUGAGGUAUUUGGUUCCAGUUAUCUUAUAGAUGUUUUUGAGUAUGAUGAUGAAUCAUAGGAAAUAUGGAAGAUCGAGAGUUUAGGAAUUAUGGCAGCUUCAAUUGGUUCUAGUUGAUUCCGAUUAUUAUUUUAAUUACUUGAGGUUUUCCGUUGCCAGAGGACUGCACAGUAUUUAUGGUUUAUAUGCUUCUAGUGCUUUGAAAGAUUGAUUGUUAUAACUCGUGAAUACCUUGAUCCAGAAUUCUCGAGCUCUCUUUUGUGGCAGAUUCUAUAUGCAGUUGGUGAGGCUGUGUUGUGUAUGUGGUUAUUAUCUGUAUGGAGCCCACACAGACCCUAUGAUGCAGUUUGUUCAGGAUGCUCUGGUUUCCUUUGAAUGAUUAAAAUAGGUUUUCCGUUAGAUUCUGUUAUAUUUUAGGGGGUUCUUUGCUGUGAAAUACACUGCUUAUUAUCAUGGAUGCAGGUCUUCUGAAAUGCUCUGAACCAGAGUCUGAACAAUGAAUAUGUCCAGUUUGUGCUGGUUUAUUUGGCCCUCAUUACUUUCAACUAUUAUUUGUUGCACUUGUCUGCACAAGUUGGUCAUUUGAUACGGUUCUCAUCAAAAUAUGGUUGUUUGUUUUUAUUUGUUGUGUGCAAGGGAAAGGAGAUGGACAUCUAUUUUUGCAUGGACAUGUGAGUAGUUUUUUGAAAGAGAGAUGUGUGUGUUUUGCUACUUUCCUAUGGUAUUUGGUUUUAAAUAUGCUCUAACCCUUUGAUCAACUUUGCUGUGCCUGUUGUAUAUCUCUAGUUGGAUGUAGACGGGUCUCAAGUAAGAAGUUCCAUUAACUUCUCAUUUUUUCUGCAUUGGCUGUUUAAUUGUUGUUUAUUUUCCCUGUCUGCCACUUCUGUUGGCAUGCUUGUGACAUUUUAUAAAUUUGCACUUUUGAAGUUAUUCUUUCUCUUUGUUUUCUUAAUGUUCUAUUACUAGUGUUUUUGUGUGCAGUUGCAGAAGCAUCAGCAUUAGCCAUAAGUAUGGUAAUUAGACAUGGGUACUGUCCUUUUUUGGAUUGUAAUUGGUAUGAAACAUAGGUUUUACCUUUUUUGAUAUGGCUAGUUUAGAUCUAUGAGUGCAAAUUAUUCACGAUUUUUUGGGAUAUUAUGUUUUUGUCCAAAUGUUAAGUAUUCCUAUUGUUGUUAAUUUUCAGCAGCUACUUGCAUGGCAAGUAUUAUUUGAAGGUCAUAUGAAUUUCUGAUUUGUCUCUUCUUAGAUUCUUUGUCAGACUUGUAAUUUGCAGCUUAAUUGUCUUUUUUUUUUUAACCUGUCUUGAGGUAUUUAGUUUCAGUUAUCUUGUAUAUGUUUUUUUAAUAUGACACUAAAUAAUAAGAAUUACAGAAGAUUGAGAGGUUAGGAGUUCCGACAGCUUCUAUUGGUUAUAGUUGAUUUCAAUUAUUAUUUUAAUUGCUUUAGGUUUUUCCUUGCAUUCUCUCAAAGGACUUCACAAUUUGCAGGAUUUAGGGUUUUUAUGAUCCUAGUGCUUUGAAAGAUUAGAUUGUCAUAACUCGCGAGUACUGUGAUCCAAAAUUCUCGAGUCUCUUUUGUGGUAGAUUCUAAAUGUAUCACUGAUGUGGUUGGUGAUGCUGUGGUGUUUAUGUGGUUAUUAUCUGUGUGGUGCGCACACAGACCCAAAGGUGCAGUUUGUUAAGGAUGCUUUGCUUUCCGUUGAAUUAUUAAAAUAGGUUUUCCAUUAGAUAGUGUUAUCUUUAAGGGGUUUCUUUGCUGUGACAUACAUUGCUUAUUAUCUGGUUUGAACAAUGGGUCCUCGUUACUUUCAAGUUUCAACUAUUAUUUGUUGCACUUAUGUGCACAUGUUGGUGUUUUGAUAUGGUUCUCAUCAAAAUAUGGAUUGUUUUUAUUUGUUGUGUGCAAGGGAAAGGAGAUGGACAUCUAGUUUUGCAUGGGCAUGUGACAAUAGAUUUUUGAAAGAGAGAUGUGAAUGUUUUGCUACCUUCCUAUGGCAUUUGGUUUUCAGUAUGCUCUAACCCUAUCAUCAACAUUGCUGUGUCUGUUGUUUAUCUCUUGUUGGAUAUAGAAGUUUCUCAAGGAAGAGGUUCCAUUAACUGGCUGUUUAAUCGUUGAUUAUUUUCCCUAUCCUACUACUUUCGUCAGCUUACUUGGUACAUUUUAUAAAUUUGCUUUUUUGAAGUUAGUCUUUCUCUAUGUUUUCUGAAUGUUCUAUUCCUAGUGUUUUUGUUUGCAGUUGCAGAAGCAUCAGCAUUUCCCAUAAUUUUGGUAUUUAGACAUGGUAACUGACCUUUCUUGGAUUGUAUUUGGUAUGAAACAAUAGAUUUUUCCUUUUUGACAAGGCUAGAUUAGAUUUGGGUGUGCAAAUUAUGCACGAAUUUUUGAGAUAUUAUUUUUUUGUCCAAUUGUUAAUUAUCCUUGUGAAUUUUCAGCAGUUACUUGCUGGACAAGUCUUUUUAGAAGAUCAUUUGAAUGUCUCGUUCAUCUCUUCUGGGAUUCUCUCAGAUUUCUACUUUGGUUAGGAGUUAUGACAGCGUCUAUUGGUUGAAGUUAAUUCUGAUUAUUAUGUUAAGCACUUGAGGCGUUUCCUUAUGUUCUCUCAGAGGACUUCACAAUUUGCAGCAUUAAUAUUUUUUAUGCUUCUAGUGCUUUGAAAGAUUUGAUUGUCAUAACUCACGAGUACUGUGAUCCGAAAUUCUCAAUCUCUUGUGGCAGAUUCUAUGUAUAUUAUCAAUGUGGUUGGUGAGGCUGUGUUGUUUAUGUGGUUAUUAUCUGUUUGGAGACCACACGAAGCCCAUGAUGCAGUUUGUCAAGCAUGCUCUGGUUUCUGUUGAAUGAUUAAAAUAGGUUUUCCAUUAGAUGGUGUUAUAUUUAAGGGGUUUCUUUGCUGUAACAUGCUGCUUAUUAUCAUGGAUGCAGGUCUUCCGAAAUGCUCUGAACAAUGGAUGCAUCUGUUUUGUGCUGGUUUAGUUGGCCCUCACUACUUUCAACUAUUAUUUGUUGCACUUAAUGUGCACAAGUUGGUCAUUUGAUACAGUUACUCAUCAAAAUAUGUUUGUUUGUUUUUAUUUUUGUCAAAAGGAAAGCAUAUGGGCAUCUAGUUUUGCAUGGGCACGUGAGUGUUUUGCUUUGGUCCAAUGGUAUUUGGUUUUAAACAUUAUCUAACCGUCAUCAGCAUUGCUGCAUCUGUUGGAUAUCUCUACUACUUAAGUCAGCAAGCUUGGUACAUUUUAUAAAUUUGCACUUUUGAAGUUAGUCUUUUUCUAUGUUUUCUGUAUGUUCUAUUCAUAGUGUUUUUGUGUGGUGUUCCAGAAGCAUCAGCAUUAGCCAUAUGUCUGGUGAUUAGACAUGGAUACUGACCUUUCUUGGGUUGUAUUUGGUAUUAGAUAUAGGUUUUACAUUUUUGAUAAGGCUAGUUUAGAUUUAGGAGUGCGAAUUAUGAGUGAACUAGAUAUUUUUUUUUGUCCAAAUGUUAAUUAUUCUUGUUGUGAUGAAUUUUCAGCAGUUCCUUGGUUGGCAAGUCUUAUUAGAAGCAAGCUUUGCGAUUUUGAAUCAUACCGCCCGUAUUGGACAGUAUGUACCGGGCGAUACGCGGACUGCUCGCUACUGAGCGGUCCACUCGAUAUAGUCCCGUAUUAGACGAUACAGGGCUGUUUCGGGCAGUAACGGUUGAAAUUUUGAUCAUUACCGUCUACUAUUGGGCGGUAUUAACCUAGCUAUGGCGAAGUUGAGGGAGAAGCAUCGAAGAAGGAAGAAGGAGAGGGCGUUCAAAGAAGAGGGAGAAGAAGAGAAAACCAUUUCCAUAUUGGGUUAAUUGCAUCCAUUGGUAUUCAUGUUUGGUUGUAGAGGUUAUCCGCCGAUUUUGUUGAAUUUUCUUGAAUUCCAUAGAGCCAUGGUUUCCAAUGGCCUGAUGGCUGUUCAUUUAUUGCCAAAAUGCAGUCCAACCAUUCCACGGAAUUACAUUUGGAUGGACAUUAUUUUCACUUUGACUUUGUGAACCUUUGGCUCUUAAAAGUACUCUUUUGGGUUUUUACUAUAAUAACAACAACUAUAAAAUCGUAAGUCCUGAUUAUUUGGGCUCGGCUACUUGGAUCUUUUGCCAUCAUUGAAAUAUGUAAAAAGUUAUAUGUUUAGUUAAGUUUAAAGUAUUUAAAUCUUUAUUUAUAAUUUUUAUUAAAGUCUUUUUAGGUCUUUCUCUACCUCUUCUCAUACUACUAACAUAUUAAUUAUUUUAUCUUUUUUAACUACCACUCUUUUGGGUUUCUCUUCUUAAUUAACUUCUGUUUCUCUUUUGAAUCAUGUUUCCUUAUAUCUUGUUUGGAAGUUAGGACAUGGUAAUGAUGGCUCAUACAGGUACUUAUUGCCAUAAAUGAGUUUUGGUUGGUGGUCUUGGGUUAUGAUAAUUGUCCUUGAUUGUUAUAUGGAUUUGUGAAGCAAUUCUAUACCUGCAAGUGAUGGCUUUGAAUAAAAGUGUUUUAAGAUGCAUUGUUUCUCUUUCCAUGUAACAGUUUGGAGGUACAAACAUGCCAUGUUCUCUUGAUUUUUUUCCUUGAAACUCAUUCCAUAUUGCUGAUCUUUAGUAGAAUUGUUAUCUUCGUGGGCUGAAGUACCAUUUUGUUGGUCAUUAUAUUUGUUGUUAGUCUACUUGAAGCUUGUUUUGGGAGCUACCUAUCACAUUUUUCUAAUAGUUCUGUUAUUUUUCUAGACAUGGAGGUUUUGGAAUAUCAUGUUAUUAACUAAAGCAUGGAGCCUUCACAUUGUAAACAAAGGAGUCUUAACUUUUGUCAAGGUAUCUUCUUGUAGAGACCCAAUUGCAGAUCGAAUAUUUCAUUGAUGAAGAUUCUUACAACCAUAUUUGAUACAAACAAGAUUUCAAGAUUAUUGUUUUGGUUAGCAUGAAGAAUAGAAGUUCUAUCUGCACUCAUAGUCAAAUAUUUUGCUUCAGCUUCUUCUUGUUCUUCUGGAGGGAGAUGUCUUUUGAAAGGGGGUCAAAAAAAUCUCAAAUUGUUUGCAUGUUGUUUUCGAUUGUAUAGACAAAUAUGUUAAGUUCUAACGCAAUCAACGUUAGGUCUUUGAGUUUUUUUUUUUUAGUAUGGAUCAAAAUGUUAUAGAUGAACUUUGUGAAGUUAUAAUGAUGGUUACUGUGUUUCUUUGA